AGUAGAAAAGCAUGAAACAACAGAAGAUUUAUUUUCUUAGAAGAAAAGUUGCUCAAAAUUUCCUUCCCCACAAACAAGGUAAAAAAAGAAAUUGGUGUUAGAGAAUUUCAGAGUACCGUAUCGGUACCGAUAUACAAGUGCUCGCCUCUAGAAUCCCCCAAAAAUUUACUAAUGCCCAGUAAACUCAAUCGGAAUUCUAAAACGGAAUUUGUAAACGAUUCGAAUUGAAUUCCGUUUCAGAAUUCCGAUUUGGGUUGACUGUGGAAACUUGCUUGAUAGUGUUAGCGCAGCUGAACAUUUCAAAAAUUCACCACCAAAACGAGUUAUAAUAAUCAAAAUUUCGCCAACAUUAAAUUAAGCGUGUACAAUUUGUUUUGGUUUGGUUCCCGCAGAUUCACUAUAGUUUUUUCGUCUGCUGCGAUCGCGUAAAAUUUGUUUUGUUUUGCCGGUUUAGCGAUUGCAAGUGUUGAAGUUAGAUUUCCCUGGUUCUGCCGGCGCUGUUCCUCUACGGAAAGAGCGAUCAGGUAUACGAGAUGCGCUUCCGGGCGAAGAUUGUGGAGCUGCCGAAGAACGGUUACUUUGAUCAGUCUGAAGCGACCGGAUGGCUUGCAGGCGAUCACGGACGGUUGCACAUCCCGGUUGCACAACGGCCUGCGAACGAUAAGCAGCAAGCUGGACGACAUGCAGAACUUGCUGAACGAAAUGCGCGACGGAAUGAUCCAGGUGAAGCAAGGCGUGGCGAGAGUUCAGCAGAGGAUGCAAGAGCCGCAACCGCAAGCCUGUGUGCGAUACCAGAACUGCGUCGAAAAGACUGGUGACGAUUGCUGGUAAUAGUCGCGUACAACAUUUAUCGGUAAAUAGUAACUGCUACAGUUGUAGACAAAAAUAGUAUACUUAUCAGCGAAAGCAGAACCGCCCAGGCAAGAAGUUCUACUUGAAAUUAUACUUUCCGGCCAGCUGUCUGUACGUGAGGAAGCAGCCGACCCGGGACAAGAAAAAGUACUUCAUAUCAAGCUGACGGAUCAGAAACUGAGAACAUGAACGUGCUGACUCGUCGCCUGGAAACCAAUUCUACCGCUCGUGUUCCGGUUUGAAUAGUAGUUUAUGACGCUGUCGAUGCUCUUUCUCAUCACAUUCGAGCGACACCGUUAUUGAUCGUGGUGGUAUGCGUUGGUCCAGAGAUGACACCGAAUCCUCAUCUUUCAGUAGCUUGUGGUGAAUAUUGCGUCUUCCGUCUCGGCAGCAGCUGUAAUCGGAUCGAAUUCAAAUCUCCAGCUGAAAAGGAUCUAGUUGGUGAAACCGUUCAGCGAUCAUCAGCCGCCGAGCUGCUUCCCGGUUCAACCCGUGACUUUUUCAGCCCAACACGACUGAUUUUGCUGAGACCUUUCACGGACGUGGGACGUUCGGAACGUCGUUCAAGCACCACAAACUAUCACUCAUCGCGGACAAGCAUUCAACGGCGACGAGAAAUUGUGCUUGAGACGCCAUAGGAACGUUAACAAUCAUCG